rnacentral:rRNA from 1 species
UGGGGAAUAUUGCACAAUGGGCGCAAGCCUGAUGCAGCCAUGCCGCGUGUAUGAAGAAGGCCUUCGGGUUGUAAAGUACUUUCAGCGGGGAGGAAGGGAGUAAAGUUAAUACCUUUGCUCAUUGACGUUACCCGCAGAAGAAGCACCGGCUAACUCCGUGCCAGCAGCCGCGGUAAUACGGAGGGUGCAAGCGUUAAUCGGAAUUACUGGGCGUAAAGCGCACGCAGGCGGUUUGUUAAGUCAGAUGUGAAAUCCCGGGGCUCAACCUGGGAACUGCAUCUGAUACUGGCAAGCUUGAGUCUCGUAGAGGGGGGUAGAAUUCCAGGUGUAGCGGUGAAAUGCGUAGAGAUCUGGAGGAAUACCGGUGGCGAAGGCGGCCCCCUGGACGAAGACUGACGCUCAGGUGCGAAAGCGUGGGGAGCAAACAGG